CUCCCGGAAGCACAUACGCACGCUAGGCAACGUCCUAGUAAUUUAUUAUUAUUAUUAUUAUUAUUAUUAUUAUUAUUAUUAUUAUUAGUUACCUACCGUAAUUAAGAAUACGUUUAAUGUGUUUAUAAUAUGUAUAGUGUUCAGCCUAUAAGAUUUUUUUUUUUUACUUUUACAUUAGUCUACCUCUCUUGAAAUUUCCACCAUGUUGUAGUUUUUACUCUGUCCACCGCGGUUUAGUGAACACGAGGACGCUUUCUACAAAGGACUACAUAUCCCAGCUGCAACCACGACGUUUACGGAAGUGAGCUCUUCAGGUUCAACCGUUACCGGCUGUGCUCGUUAUCAACAUAUCGACUGUGUUAGAAAACUGAAACGGCUACAGGGAAAGAAUACCGUACUGUCUCUUGAAAUAAAUGCUGAAAUGAAGCCUUCGCUAUACUCCGACGAAGAUGAAGAGAUAGGAACUUAUCAGGAGAAAUUGAGAGCGGGCCAACCGCAGUAUUCAGCAGCUAAGCAGCGUGCUGGUGAACCAGAGCUCCAAUGCUGAGGCACUGGAGCAAUCGAGCAGUCAGCACAGCCCACCAGAGAGCUCGAGACAACUAACACAGCAGAUGAAAGCAGUCAGUCAGCUGCGUUAAUUGCUUCAGAAACAACCGAAAGAAGUCAACUCUCCUUCACCUUCAAAAAGGAAACCUGUUCCAAAGUGUCACAAACGACUCGUUCAAUGAUCCGUUCUAAAGGAUUCAUUCUAAACUCCUCCUUUCUGAGAGCAUACUCUGCUCUGAUUGGUCAGAUGCCCCUGUCUUUUGUGACUGGUCUACCGCAGUCAGCAUGUUGAAAAGGAAACGCCUACUAUCAUAACAAGUUUCAGCUGUCUUUCAGCGAGCAGCUAAUGAAGACCAGAGGGUCCAGGGUUCGAGUCCUGCCGGGGCCAUGUGUGUGCGGAGUUUGCAUGUUCUCCCCGUGCGGCGGGUACUCCAGUUUCCUCCCCCAGUCCAAAGACAUGCAUGGUAGGCUGAUUGGUGUGUCUAAAUUGUCCAUAGUGUAUGAAUGGGUUUGUGAAUGUGUAUGUGAGUGUGCCCUGCGAUGGACUGGCACCCUGUCCAGGGUGUACCCCACCUCGUGCCCGAUGCUCCCUGGGAUAGGCUCCAGGUUCCCUGUGACCCUGAAAAGGAGUAAGUGGUAGAAGAUGGAUGGAUUUACUAUUUCACAUUUUGAAGCAGUCAGCAAAAGAAAGCCAUUAAGGAGAACAAUAUAUUUAGCCCCUGUGCUGGGGGAUGAUAGGUCUGCUUAGUGUGAAAAUCUCAGCUAAGAGCCAGCAAAGAGCAUAGAGGCCAUAUGACGCCUGCAUUUUAAAUGCAUUUCAUGUGAUAAACUGGACAUGUCUGAGGUGGUUGGAAAGCCCAUUUUCUCUAGUUUCAGGAACUUUUUGAAUGGUGUCUCUAUGCCCAUCCAAAGUGGAGAAAGCUUAUCAGCAAUGAUGUGCUCCCCAGCUUAAGUUAAAACCUAAAGGCCUGCAGACUGGACUGCCAUCCUGUGGACAAUUGUGGAAUCUACAUUAUAAAUGUUAAUAUAUAUUUACUAUAUGUAAUGUAAUUGGAAUUAUUAUAUUAUUAUAAAAGUGUUUACAUAUAUUUUUUUAUUUAAAUUAUUUAUUUUAUGAUUUUAUAAAGGUGGACUUUUGGAUACCUCCACAUGUGCUCUAAAAAACUAUUAGGGUGUACUAUAUACCAUAAUAAAAGAUAACACCAUGUUUAAGCUGUGUGGUCCUGCUCUAUAAGGGAUGUUCCAGUAC